rnacentral:lncRNA from 12 species
CCCCCCCCCCCCCCCCCCCCCAUCCCCCUUCUCUCCUCUUUUCCAGCAUUGGUUGUUAUUGGUGGGGAGAUAUAGGCUAAGAAAUGUUCUUUGCUCCUUUUCCAUCCACCAUAAUGGUUGAGUAGUGGCAUUGGGCAGGGUGAGGAUGUGAGAGCAUUGGAAUUCCAAAAGAAGAGGAAGCAACUCA